CUGAGACCCUCGGGACCACCAAGGAAGAGCCCAGACUCCAGUGGGCGUCUCUCAGGCAGACCAUCAUGGAGACGGCUGGAGUGCUCAUCCACCUGACACACAAGUCCGUAGAGCACACCUUUACUGUCCUGAGACCCUCAGGUGACUACCAAGGAAGAACACAGACUCCAGUGGGCGUCUCUCAGGCAGACCAUCACGGCUGGAGUGUAUAUCCACCUAACACACAAG